GGAAGGAUCAUUACCGUACAAUGAGGGAGGCCCGAGGGCUGUCGCUGACCCCCCUCCUUUCUGAGGGGUCGUGCACGCCCGAGGUGUCAUCCUCACACAAUCAAUCCAUCUCACCUUUUGUGCAUCACCGGCGUGGACCUCGAAAGGGGCCUGCGCCUUUUUACACACAGACAUCCCUUUAUGAUUCAGUGUAGAAUGUAUUUGCCUUUGUAUGCAAUCAAUACAACUUUCAACAACGGAUCUCUUGGCUCUCGCAUCGAUGAAGAACGCAGCGAAAUGCGAUACGUAAUGUGAAUUGCAGAAUUCAGUGAAUCAUCGAAUCUUUGAACGCACCUUGUGCCCCUUGGCAUUCCGAGGGGCACACCCGUUUGAGUGUCGUGAAAUCCUCAACCCUUACUCCAUUUUUUUUUAUGGGAAAAGGGUUUGGAAUUUGGAGGCUUAUGCUGGCCCCUUCUUUUUGAAGCCAGCUCCUCUUAAAUGCAUUAGCAGGGUCUCCUUAGCUGGAUCCCUUGACGUGAUAAGUCUUUACGUCCUGGGGGCUUCUCAGCUCCUUAACCUGCUUCCAAUCGUCUCAUCUGAGACUCUAAAGAUUAUUAGAUCGAA
rnacentral:rRNA from 1 species